GCCAUGGGCCAGGCAGGGCUGGGCUGGGCAGGGGUGGGAGGCUUGGGAGCGGCACCUG
rnacentral:miRNA from 1 species